rnacentral:lncRNA from 1 species
ACCGCAAAUAACUCAAUUUACUAAGUUAUUAAAUACCCCAAAGUAGCAAUCAUGUUUUCUCUUUAUUACAAAUAAAAGUAAUUUAUUUUUGAAUAGCUAGGAACAUUGAAAGGUCAUUUUUAUUUCUUAGACUAAGUUUAUAUAUAUAUACACGCACACACAUAUAAUUUGAAGUUAUUAAAUGUAAAUCAUUAGCCUCUUUUUUGGCGAAGUAGAAUCUGCGUAUUUUUUUUAAA